CGACCAUCCCAGUUCGGAUUGCAGUCUGAAACUCGAGUGCAUGAAGCUGGAAUCGCUAGUAAUCGCAAAUCAGAAUGUUGCGGUGAAUACGUUCCCGGGUCUUGUACACACCGCCCGUCACACCAUGGGAGUUGGAAAUGCCCGAAGUCAGUGACCCAACCUAAGGGAGGGAGCUGCCGAAGGCAGGUUCGAUGACUGGGGUGAAGUCGUAACAAGGUAGC
rnacentral:rRNA from 1 species